GGAGUAGGAUAAAAAUUAAAUAAUUUGGCGGUAUUUUACCCUAAUAGGGGAACUUGUUCUGUAAUCGAUAAUCCACGUAAAAUCUUACCUUAUAAAAAGUUUAUAUACCGUUGUUGUUAGGAUACUUUGGAUAAUUUGGUAGUGUCCAAAUAAAAUUUUUUUAUCACUUCAAAUCAAGGUGUAGUAUAUGAUAAGGGUUGAAAUGAGUUACUUUAUUUAAGAUUUGGAAAAUUAAUUGAAAUAUUAAUCGGAAAUAGGAUUUAUUAGUAAAUUUUUUUUUAAUAUGAUGUGUUGAAAUAGGCUCUAAAAUAUGUACAUAUCGCCCGUCACUCCAAUUUUAUUAUUGGAUAAGUCGUAACAAAGUAGAUGUAAGGGAACUUGUAUCUAGAUUU
rnacentral:rRNA from 1 species